rnacentral:lncRNA from 12 species
CUUUUGAAGACAGCAAUUUUCUAAAUAAACAUAUAAGAGCAGGCAGGCGCAUAGCAGAGACUCAAAAAUAUUUGCUGAAUUAAUUCAAAAUGAUGCUUGUGCAUUAGGCUGAUUUUCUAUCCAUGUAUAAGUUUUCCAGAUGUGAUAAUCACAACAAUUACUUACUAGUGCUUGCUAUGCUCUUCAGACCUAAAAAUGAUAAUUAACACAGUGAUUGUAUAGAAUCAUAAGUUAAAUGAGGAGGGACUAAUUUGUCUCUCAAAACUGCUUCUGCGAAAGUUGGAGCUUGAGUUUUGCAUAGGUGUUUACUUGUUCAAUAGAGUCUUCUAGACUGAAGUGAUGUCAAGUGGAAAGUUACAGGGAGACAGGAGGGUUGUAGUAUUAAGGGUUAAAAAAUUGGUCAGUGUGAAUUACUUAAAUUUUUUUGCACUUGUCUCUUUUUCUGAAAGAUCCUUGUCCAGUGGAUCAAUUUGUCAUCAAGAAGCUUCAAACCCACAGGAUUCCCUUUGA